GUGGGGAAUAUUGCACAAUGGGCGCAAGCCUGAUGCAGCAACGCCGCGUGCGGGAUGACGGCCUUCGGGUUGUAAACCGCUUUCAGCAGGGACGAAGCUUUUUGUGACGGUACCUGCAGAAGAAGCACCGGCUAACUACGUGCCAGCAGCCGCGGUGAUACGUAGGGUGCGAGCGUUGUCCGGAUUUAUUGGGCGUAAAGGGCUCGUAGGCGGUUGAUCGCGUCGGAAGUGGAAACUUGAUGCUUAACGUUGAGCGUGCUUUCGAUACGGGUUGACUUGAGGAAGGUAGGGGAGAAUGGAAUUCCUGGUGGAGCGGUGGAAUGCGCAGAUAUCAGGAGGAACACCAGUGGCGAAGGCGGUUCUCUGGACCUUUCCUGACGCUGAGGAGCGAAAGCGUGGGGAGCGAACAGGCUUAGAUACCCUGGUAGUCC
rnacentral:rRNA from 1 species